rnacentral:rRNA from 1 species
GACGAACGCUGGCGGCGUGCUUAACACAUGCAAGUCGAGCGGUAAGGCCCUUUUGGGGGUACGACGAGCGGCGAACGGGUGAGUAACACGUGGGUGACCUGCCCUCAGCUCUGGGAUAAGCCUGGGAAACUGGGUCUAAUACUGGAUAUGACCUUUCCUCGCAUGGGGUUGGGGUGGAAAGUUUUUCGGCUGGGGAGUGGGCCCGCGGCCUAUCAGCUUGUUGGUGGGGUGAUGGCCUACCAAGGCGACGACGGGUAGCCGGCCUGAGAGGGCGACCGGCCACACUGGGAC